rnacentral:lncRNA from 1 species
GUGCCUAUUUGGUCUCUGGAAGCUGCCAGGUCUCUUUGAAUUGGGGCUCUCUUGGCCCUUGGGGUAAGUGAACAAGGAUGUCCUGGUCCAUCAUUUAUUAAGCAAAUUCUGCACAGCAACUCUGUAUGUGUGUCCUGCCUUGGCAAAUGUGGAAGAUCUACAAACAUGAAAAAGGCCUGAUACUUGCUUUCAUGGGACUCAUCAUCCAGGAGGCUCCCUCAGUGGCCAAGGGAAACAAAAGGCCCUGGACCUCACUGAUACCAGGCUUGACCAAGUCCUGGAAGACUAACUUGGCCUAACUGAAAUGCACAUGAAAUGGAGACAAAAACCAACAGUAAGUAAAAUAAUUGUCACAAAGACUAAGAGUGUCUUUACUGGCAUUAUCUGCACAUUUUGUCUCUUUAGUUAA